UACAGAGGGUGCGAGCGUUGUUCGGAAUUAUUGGGCGUAAAGGGCGCGUAGGCGGCGCCACAAGUCACUUGUGAAAACUCUGGGCUCAACCCAGAGCCUGCAGGCGAAACUGUGGUGCUGGAGUAUGGGAGAGGUGCGUGGAAUUCCCGGUGUAGCGGUGAAAUGCGUAGAUAUCAGGAGGAACACCGGCGGUGUAGACGGCUAUCUGGACAGUAACUGACGCUGAGACACGAAAGCGUGGGGAGCAAACAGG
rnacentral:rRNA from 1 species